rnacentral:rRNA from 1 species
GUGAGGAAUAUUGGUCAAUGGACGAGAGUCUGAACCAGCCAAGUCGCGUGAAGGAAGACGGUUCUAUGAAUUGUAAACUUCUUUUGUGCAGGAAUAAAGUGGGUUACGUGUAACCUUUUGUAUGUACUGUACGAAUAAGGAUCGGCUAACUCCGUGCCAGCAGCCGCGGUAAUACGGAGGAUCCGAGCGUUAUCCGGAUUUAUUGGGUUUAAAGGGUGCGUAGGUGGAUUGAUAAGUCAGCGGUGAAAGUUUGCAGCUUAACUGUAAAAUUGCCGUUGAAACUGUCGGUCUUGAGUGCAAAUGAGGUAGGCGGAAUGUGUUGUGUAGCGGUGAAAUGCUUAGAUAUAACACAGAACUCCGAUUGCGAAGGCAGCUUACUGGGAUGCAACUGACACUGAUGCACGAAAGCGUGGGGAUCAAACAGGAUUAGAUACCCCUGUAGUCC